GACGAACGCUGGCGGCGUGCCUAAUACAUGCAAGUCGAACGAACCGCGACUAAGUGCUUGCACUAAGUCAAGGUGAGUGGCGAACGGGUGAGUAACACGUGGGUAACCUACCUCAUAGUGGGGGAUAACAGUCGGAAACGACUGCUAAUACCGCAUAGGACAUAGGAUCACAUGAUCCAGUGAGGAAAGGUGGCGCAAGCUAUCGCUAAGAGAUGGACCCGCGGUGCAUUAGCUAGUUGGUAGGGUAAAGGCCUACCAAGGCGAUGAUGCAUAGCCGACCUGAGAGGGUGAUCGGCCACAUUGGGACUGAGACACGGCACAAACUCCUACGGGAGGCAGCAGUAGGGAAUCUUCCGCAAUGGACGCAAGUCUGACGGAGCAACGCCGCGUGAGUGAAGAAGGUCUUCGGAUCGUAAAGCUCUGUUGUUAGAGAAGAACAGCGCAUAGAGUAACUGCUAUGCGUGUGACGGUAUCUAACCAGAAAGCCACGGCUAACUACGUG
rnacentral:rRNA from 1 species